CAGUCGCCGCGGUAAUACGUAGGGUGCGAGCGUUAAUCGGAAUUACUGGGCGUAAAGCGUGCGCAGGCGGUUGUGUAAGACAGGUGUGAAAUCCCCGGGCUUAACCUGGGAACUGCGCUUGUGACUGCACAGCUAGAGUAUGGCAGAGGGGGGUGGAAUUCCACGUGUAGCAGUGAAAUGCGUAGAGAUGUGGAGGAACACCGAUGGCGAAGGCAGCCCCCUGGGCCAAUACUGACGCUCAUGCACGAAAGCGUGGGGAGCAAACAGGAUUAGAUACCCGCGUAGUCCCUGUCUUUAUACA
rnacentral:rRNA from 1 species